rnacentral:rRNA from 1 species
UACGGGAGGCAGCAGUGGGGAAUAUUGCACAAUGGGCGCAAGCCUGAUGCAGCCAUGCCGCGUGUAUGAAAAAGGCCUUCGGGUUGUAAAGUACUUUCAGUCGUGAGGAAGGUGUUAAGGUUAAUAACCUUAGCAAUUGACGUUAGCGACAGAAGAAGCACCGGCUAACUCCGUGCCAGCAGCCGCGGUAAUACGGAGGGUGCGAGCGUUAAUCGGAAUUACUGGGCGUAAAGGGCACGCAGGCGGUUAAUUAAGUUGGAUGUGAAAUCCCCGGGCUUAACCUGGGAAUGGCAUUCAAGACUGGUUAGCUAGAGUCUUGUAGAGGGGGGUUAGAAUUCCAUGUGUAGCGGUGAAAUGCGUAGAGAUGUGGAGGAAUACCGGUGGCGAAGGCGGCCCCUGGGACAAAGACUGACGCUCAUGUGCGAAAGCGUGGGGAGCAAACAGGGAUUAGAUAC